UACGUAGGGCGCAAGCGUUAUCCGGAAUUAUUGGGCGUAAAGGGCUCGUAGGCGGUCCAUCGCGUCGGGAGUGAAAAGCUGGGGCUUAACCCCAGUCCUGCUUUCGAUACGGGCAGACUAGAGUGUGGUAGGGGAGACUGGAAUUCCUGGUGUAGCGGUGAAAUGCGCAGAUAUCAGGAGGAACACCGAUGGCGAAGGCAGGUCUCUGGGCCACUACUGACGCUGAGAAGCGAAAGCGUGGGGAGCGAACAGG
rnacentral:rRNA from 1 species